GGUAGUGUGGCUGAGUGGUUCAAGGCACUUGAUUUCAGCUCCAGUCCCUUUAGAGGCAUGGGUUCAAAUCCCAUCCCUACCA